rnacentral:lncRNA from 1 species
GGCAAAAGCUGUGCAUGAAGAAUUGCCUUCUUCUAAGAUCUAAUCUUCAGGCUUAUCUCCUCUGUUUCCAAUGAACUGCUAGCCUGUAUGCAAUACUACAAAACAGCUGUCUCAAGGUCUGUGUAUACUUCCACAUACCUCCAUUCCUAACAAUGAAAUAUGAGUGCAAGUUAUGCUACACUUGACGAAAUGGUAAUAAAUGUUUACUUCCAUUUCUAUCAUUUAAAGAUAAUUUGAGCUGUAAGCAUUCCAUGCUUUUAAAUGCCCAUGUCUUCCAAACAGAACCUCCAUUUUUCCUAAUUUCUAGCAACUAUUUCCAGACCUGGGAGCUGACUAAUUUUUUCCUUUCUAUCUCUACAUUUCCUAUUCAUUCUAUCCAAAUGGACAGCCAAGGCCACACAGAAACGUUUUCUUCAUUCAACUCAUGAUUCAUAGUGGUAUCAGCCCCAUCAGCCAGAACUAACCUAGACAUAUGGUGCAAAUAUGAAACUUCCAGCAAUUAACAACAGCAAGAAGGAAAAGGUUAUCAGUAAAUCCAAGGGUUAUAUGGACUAUGAAAUCAACUUGAGUUCAGAAAAGUGAGGUGGGGGAUCUGCCCUGGUGAACCCUCACCACCCAAGAAGCACAAACUUGUGUACCAUGUUCAAGGAGCAAAUCCUAAUUGCUGUAGAUUGAAGGAUGAGCCUUUACCUCUAAUUUUGUCACCAUAAAAAGUGAUAAGGCAAACAGGAAAAAGGACAGGACAUAUGACAUUUAUUCCAAUCGAUGAAUUUUGUUUAAUCUAUUCUCACGCACACAUAGUCCAAAUAAAUCUCAUGGCUUUUGUUGCAGCCAAGUUUAUUUACGUGAUAGGCCAAACUUUUGCUUCUUUUUAGCUUUGAUACUUUUCUCAUUCUUUUUUUUUUCCUUUCCUUUCCUUUUUUUAAAUCAUGGUGUUCAAAUUCUGUCACAUCUGAUGUUCACAGACACCACAUACAAAGCUGCAGAGCACGAUGGUGCUUGUUAAGGAUCACGGGCAAUAUAAACUUUUCCUUCAUCCUUAGUGAUUCUUCAAAGGCACGCUGACUUGUGUCCACAAAAAAAAAAUCCAUUUUUUUAAAGCAUUCAGCAAAAUAUUUAAGAAAAUGUGUUUUUAGAAAAACAAUCACAGGCUCCACAGACAGCCUGGCAUCUUAAGUACAUUUGAGAUAAAUUUAACCAUAAUGGUCAUUUGCUAUUUUUUGUAACCAUGUUAUCCAUGUUGUCUGAAAUACGACAUAAAUGAAAGUGGUUUUUCUUCACUGGGAAAAAAAAAAGCUAAAGAGACCCAACUAUUUAAAUAUUCAUUGUUGUAGUCAACAUAUUAAAAUAAAAGAACAAGUCUGAGAAUGUAAAGCUAACUUAGGAUGAAGCCAUGCCUCGUGGCUCAGUACAGCAGUGUGUUUUGUUCCUGCACAUUAAAAUAUUUUCUUAGUAAAAAUUAUUCACAAUGCCAAGACACUCUGUGUUCCUGUGUUUCUUUGUUAAGCAAGAAGUAUAUAUGAUACAAACUUAGUUUUCUAUUGCUAUCAAAAAUAAGUUUUACUAAAAAAUGGGAUGUACAUUGUAUGAAACACAGCUUGAGGGGUAAGAUUUGGCCCAUAUUUCAGAAUCUGAAAAAUAAGUCCAAUGGCGCUGUUAUUUACUAAUGAACUCGGAACAAAAGCACUGCUAAAGUCAUUUUCACUAAAUCUUUAACUCCUAGAAUAGCAUAUUUAGAAUUCAUCUUAUACAUACAUAAAAACCUCACAAAAAAAUUCAACCAUUCAAGUUUUUUACCACUGACUUGCCAUACAUUGAAAAGGAGAAUGUUGUUCAAAUGUAGGAAGCUGCUCCUGAAGAGCUUUACAAUUUGCAGAAAUGAGACAAUCUAUUAAAUAGAUUAAUAUAUAGUCUACCAACAUACAGAAGGAAGAAAUUUUCUUAGAAAUGACAUGUGAAUAAGAAACUCAGAUAAAUGCAUUUUUAAAUUAAUUUUUAGUUAUACCUCUACCCUUAUGCAAGGUUCUACACAAAUCCCAAGAGCAAUAGCAUUUCUAACAUACUCGUUUUAAUUAUUUGAAGUUAUUGCGAUGUAUUUCAAUCAUAUUCACCUAACACUCUUCUCCCUAACUCCUUGUUCAUUCACUCCCCAAUAUUCCAUUCCUUCUCAGUGUCAUGUCAUUUUUUAAUGACCCAUUGAGUCCAAUUUGUGCUGUUUGUCCAUAUCUUAAAUUAGUAUGAGGUCAUCCCCUGGAAGAUAUAAAUGUAUCAUUUUGUGUGUGUGUGUGUGUGUGUACAUACACAUAUACAUAUUUGAUUGUCAUAGCCGGCCGCAGUGGUGCACCUUUAUGGCAUUAAAAUGCCUUUAAUCCCAGCACUUGGAAGGCAGAGGCAGGCAGCGCUCUGUGAGUUCAAUGCCAAUCUGGUCAACAGAGCAAAUUCCAGAUCAUCCAGAGUUACCUAGUAAGACUC